AGAUGUAUGUGUGUUUGUAUGUGUGCAUGUGCAUGUGUGUAUGCAUGUAUGUGUGUGUGUAUUCAUAC
rnacentral:miRNA from 1 species